rnacentral:rRNA from 1 species
UACGAAGGGGGCUAGCGUUGUUCGGAAUUACUGGGCGUAAAGCGCACGUAGGCGGCCUACUAAGUCGGACGUGAAAUCCCUCGGCUCAACCGGGGAACUGCGUCCGAUACUGGUGGGCUCGAAUCCGGGAGAGGGAUGUGGAAUUCCAGGUGUAGCGGUGAAAUGCGUAGAUAUCAGGAAGAACACCCGUGGCGAAAGCGGCUCUCUGGAACGGUACUGACGCUGAGACGCGAAAGCGUGGGGAGCGAACAGG